GCAGUUUAACAAUUAGUGUCAAAGAAACUGAUCUAGAAGGAACAUGAUUUUACAAAUGCAUUUGCUCUGGCUGCUGUUCUCUGUGUUUGAAGAAUCCAGUGGGCAGAUUGUUAUCACUCAGACACCUGCUUCUGUGACGGUGCUUCCAGGAGAGACGGUCACCAUUCAGUGCAAGGCAUCCAGCUCCAUGAGUAACGAUAUGCAACUACAUCUAUUUAAAUUGGGACAAAAUCCCAAGCUCCUUAUAUAUAACGGAGCCACCCGUUUCACUGGGGUCCCCGAUCGAUUCAGUGGUCAAUACAGCGGCACCGACUUCACAUUCACCAUUAGUGGGGUGCAGGCUGAUGAUGGAGGUGACUACUACUGUCAGCAGGACUAUACAACCCCGCUCACAGUGAUACAACUCAAUGCAAAAACCUCAUUAGUGCUGCAGCCUUCUUGGUAUGAAGCAGAAGGAAACAUCUGCGGUUGUAUCUAAAUGAAUGGAGGUGAAAAGUUUCUAAUGAGAAUUAUCCUCACAGUGGAACCCUUCCAUUGGGUUUUCCGAUUAUUGGAUUUAUUUCUCUAAAAUUCUUCCUGAAAUCAGUUUCUGUGUUAGUAGGGGCAGGCGCUGUACAGGAAGUAACUGAGGUACAACUGCCAACCCCAUUAUCACCCAGCCACUUUAAUAGAAUCCGAUGGCCUUUUUUUUCCCCCUUUAAAAAAAUGACCUGUGUAUUUUUCAGAAAAUAAACAGUAACUUCCCUACAUGGACACAUUUUCCCGAUUCCCUGCACACAUGAACAAUCCUCCUUCGUUAUUAUUUUUUCAACCAUGAAUAUUAUCACUGCAUUCCCGUAGGCUGUCUAAACACCUAUGGUGGUGUUUAGAGGGUGUGAGCGGGGGUUGCAGCCCUAAUGAAGUCCACUGAGCUGGACAAAAAUGUUUUACUGAAAUGUUUGUGGUUUUCUUGGCAAAAAAGGCAGAUUCGAUGAUGUUCCUUAAUCACUGAUUUAAAACCUUUACUUCAGAAUGAACUUCCCAGGGAAAUGACCAUUUAUCUUAGAAGGAGGUGUCUGCUAAAAUGAUCUUUUCUAAUAACUGAACUGAAGACAAACAUAACCCUCAGUGCAGUAACACAGAUACACAGGCACAGUGCCACCACUGACCGCAGUGUUCCCUUAGUGCACCUGGAGUAUAACAAUUAUUUUAGUCCUUAUACAGCACUUUACAGCUUCAAAGCAGAGUACAAGCAUUUACUCACUCGCUUCUACCCUGGAUCCCAAUUUUAACCCUCUGAAAUGUUGCCCUUUAAAAAUCGUAAUGUUAUUAUGAAGGAUGGUGUUUUUUGAUUGAUUGCAGCAGCAUUACAUGGGGCCCUUGCUAGAAGAUUGGGGAAGACAGAAACCUAUUUUUCAACAUGAUUUCCAACAUAAAUAAUCAAUGUUGAUCAAACUUUCAAUGUUGUAUAAGCAUACUGUGAACCAUCGUAGCAAUUGCAUGUUGCAAAUGAUUCUCUUCCGGUCUGUGGCUGGUUGUGAACUUUAAAUUAGCAGUGUAAUGUAUCCUUCCUGGUGUAACAUUUUUCUACCUGGUUCUUUCUCUUCCCAUCAUGUCAAGUCUCAAACUAGUUUUGUCUUUGCCUGUUUUCAAGGUCGCUUUCCGCUACCAAGAUCAGUUUCCUCAUUGACUCCUCACUGCAGACAGCGCUGAUCCCACAAAAGGGAAUUUCCCUCUAGUCCCAGGACAGCGCACAGGUGACUCAGACUAUGUCUGCUGCCUGAGAGACCUCUCCUUUCUCUCCUCAUUUUCCUUCUCUCAUAUCUCUGUCAUUCCCACUUCCGACUCGGACCCUCUCUCCAGAAUCUUUAGACACAUUCUAUUGAUUUUACAUGGUGAUCAUUACCCUACUACUGUCACUGGACCACAACACCCCUACACAUCUCAGCCGGCACCUUUAAAAGUUAUGCUUAGCAUUGCUACUCUCAAAGCAGUGACUGAUUCUGUGCAUUGGGACCAGAGGAGUUAGGGGCCGGAUUCAAAAUAAUAAAAACAAAAACAAAACAAACCCCCAAAUAAUUAAACAAAUAAACAACAAUAAAAAAUUCAUUUUUGGAAAAAAGAACAAAUGGCCACGGAGAGAUUCUAAGAUGAUGUUAAGUAUCAGAGGGGUAGCCGUGUUAGUCUGGAUCUGUAAA